AAUAAGUGCAGUUUUGCACUAUUCACGUUCAACAUUUGACCGUUCGUCUUAUUUGAAAAUUUUUUAUGAUUAGUAUUUUUAUUGCUAUUAGAUGAUAAAACAUGAAUAGUAAUUUAUGCGUGACUAAAUAUUUUUAAAUUUUUCACAAAUGUUUUAAAUAAGAUGGAUGGUCAAACAUUGGGCACGGAUAUCUACGGCUACACUUAUU
rnacentral:pre_miRNA from 1 species